rnacentral:rRNA from 1 species
AUUGAACGCUGGCGGCAGGCCUAACACAUGCAAGUCGAACGAGUGGCGGACGGGUGAGUAAUGUCUGGGAAACUGCCUGAUGGAGGGGGAUAACUACUGGAAACGGUAGCUAAUACCGCUUACCAUCAGAUGUGCCCCUGUGGGCUUAGCUUGUUGGUGGGGUAACGGCUCACCAAGACGACGAUCCCUAGCUGGUCUGAGAGGCUGACCAGCCAAACUGGUACAGCGGUACGGUCCAGACUCCGACGGGCGUCAGGGGUGGGGAAUUGUGCACAAUGGGCGAAAGCCUGAUGCAGCGAUGCCGCGAGUAUGCAGAAGGCCUUCGGGUUUUAAAGUUCUUACAGCGGGGAGGCGUUGCUCGCAGAAGAAGCACCGGCAAACUCCGUGCCGGCAGCGGCGGUAAUUC